GGUGAACGCUGGCGGUAGGCCUAACACAUGCAAGUCGAACAGCAGCACAGUAAGAGCUUGCUCUUACGGGUGGCGAGUGGCGGACGGGUGAGGAAUACAUCGGAAUCUACUUUUUCGUGGGGGAUAACGUAGGGAAACUUACGCUAAUACCGCAUACGACCUACGGGUGAAAGCAGGGGAUCUUCGGACCUUGCGCGAUUGAAUGAGCCGAUGUCGGAUUAGCUAGUUGGCGGGGUAAAGGCCCACCAAGGCGACGAUCCGUAGCUGGUCUGAGAGGAUGAUCAGCCACACUGGAACUGAGACACGGUCCAGACUCCUACGGGAGGCAGCAGUGGGGAAUAUUGGACAAAGGGCGCAAGCCUGAUCCAGCCAUACCGCGUGGGUGAAGAAGGCCUUCGGGUUGUAAAGCCCUUUUGUUGGGAAAGAAAAGCAGCAGGUUAAUACCCCGCUGUUCUGACGGUACCCAAAGAAUAAGCACCGGCUAACUUCGUG
rnacentral:rRNA from 1 species